UAAUCUAGGAUGACAAGAUGACUUCAAAGU
rnacentral:piRNA from 1 species